rnacentral:tRNA from 34 species
GUCGGGAUAGCUCAGG